rnacentral:rRNA from 1 species
GACGAACGCUGGCGGCGUGCUUAACACAUGCAAGUCGAACGAGAAUCUGUGGAUUGAGGAUUCGUCCAAAUGAAGCAGAGGACAGUGGCGGACGGGUGAGUAACGCGUGAGGAACCUGCCUUUCAGAGGGGGACAACAGUUGGAAACGACUGCUAAUACCGCAUAACGCGUAGAGGUCGCAUGGCCUUUACGCCAAAGAUUUAUCGCUGAAAGAUGGCCUCGCGUCUGAUUAGCUAGUUGGUGAGGUAACGGCCCACCAAGGCGACGAUCAGUAGCCGGACUGAGAGGUUGAACGGCCACAUUGGGACUGAGAUACGGCCCAGACUCCUACGGGAGGCAGCAGUGGGGAAUAUUGGGCAAUGGGCGCAAGCCUGACCCAGCAACGCCGCGUGAAGGAGAAGGCUUUCGGGUGUAGACUUCUUUGUCAGGGACGAGUAGAAGACGGUACCUGACGAAUAAGCCACGGCUAACUACGUGCCAG